GCCAUCUUGGCUGAGGGCAAAGACGCUCCUGGCGCUCCCGUCUUUCGGCUUGCCUCAGUUGCCACUGCCAUCUUGGAUCAGGGUAAUUCCCGCCUCUUGGGCGCUCCCGGUUACAACCUCGGCGCCAUCUUGGAUUAGUUCAAUGUAGCCACCCUCUCCAGGCCCGCUGCUUCUGCCAGCUGGAUGUUGCGUCGUCCCUCGCUAUUCGCCCUCCUAUAAUCACUGCUUCCAUGUUGAAUCAAAACAAUUAUGCUUUCGUUCUCCCUUCUUCAAUUGCCCUAUCUUCACACCUGAACACUAUUGCUCCGGUAUCCUGCCAUUUUGGAUCAGGGCGGUUGACGGUGGAUUCACUUCCCAUCAGCCCUUGAGGCUGCAGGGACCAGCCCUUUGUACAGUGGAGAAGCCCAGGCGGCCUAGAAUCCAGUGUCGUCCGUGAGUGCUUGGCUGGUGUUCAAGUGCAUCUUCCAGCCUGAGACCGCGUGGACUCGCUCAUCGUGAGGGCGAGAGGAGGAUAAGCCCAUUGGGCUGUCGGCUGAGAGUGAGGUGCGGGACCAUCCACAAUAUUGUUUGAACAUCUGAAGACAUGGGGAACUUGCCAUCUGAUAUCUGAUAACAGACUUCCUGUAAAGCAGGACUGGUAGUUUCCUGAUAACAAAUUCUUCAAUAUGAAGAUUGCUGAUGAAAUCCUUGGCAUCGUCGGAGAUCUCAUCGAAUGCCUCGUCGUCGAAGUCCCAGGUGGCUGAGAUGAGGGAAUUGAGGCACAGCCCAGGCUCAAGUCACCUGCCCAAAGAUUCACAGCCAGUGAGAUUGGAAGCCAGGUAUCUGCCUCUAGAGCCUGUCCUCUUAAAUGCUAUACUAUCCUAACAUUUCUGUAAAGAUGAAGUAAAUUGCAGUGUUCAGCACUGGCACCAGGCCUGGUCCACAGUAAGGAGGCGGUCCAUGCCCGGAGAUCUCAUGCAGUUCUGCUGGGUUCCCUCCACUGCCUUACCAAGCUGUGAGUGCAGGAAUGACUUUGUGACCAGCAGCUUAAGCCAAAUAAACUUUAUAAGGUAAAGAAUUUCAAAACAAAAUAGAGCAGAUUUGUGGCUUACUGACCUUACCUCUCACCUCUGUGCACCUCACCUUCAUAGCAACAACUCACCCCACUGUUCAUGAGGGCCUUGUGAGUCAGCCUCAUGGGUGUUAGACCAGCACAGUUGCCCACAGUCCCACCCUUAGACAGGCCCUGUGCUUGGUUUAAUGCUCUGCUGCUGUCGUCUCAAGAUUCUCAAUAAGGUUUGAACAAGUGGCCCCACCUUUCAUGUUGCAAAUUGUGUAGCUGUUCCUGCCCUGAUCUCAGCUGAGCCCCAUGAGAUGGGUCUGGGGGCCAGGCGUGGUGGCUCAUGCCUGUAAUCCCAGCACUUUGGGAGGCCAAAAUGGAUGGAUCACCUGAGGUCAGGAGUUUGAGGCUAGCCUGGCCAACACGGUGAAGUCCUGUCUCUACUAAAAAUACAAAAAUUAGCUGGGCAUGGUGGCAAGCACCUGUAAUCCCAGCUACUCGGGAGGCUGAGGCAGGAGAAUUGCUUGAACCCUGGAGGUGGAGGUUGCAGUGAGCCAAUAUCGCACCAUUGCACUCCAACCUGGGCAACAAGCGAAACUCAAUCUCAAAAAAAAAAAAAAAAAGAGAGAUGGGUCUGGGGCCCUCCUGCCAUCAACCUGUCAAGUUAGGGCUUUACCAAUGUCCCUUCUCCCAAAUGCUUAUGAAUCCAUCAUCAUAAGCCAAGCACUGACAGCUU
rnacentral:lncRNA from 10 species